CAUGUUGCGGUGAAUACGUUCCCGGGUCUUGUACUCACCGCCCGUCACACCAUGGGAGUUGUGUUUGCCUUAAGUCAGGAUGCUAAAUUGGCUACUGCCCACGGCACACACAGCGACUGGGGUGAAGUCGUAACAAGGUAACCGUAGGUGAACCUGCGGUUGGAUCACCUCCUUUCUAGA
rnacentral:rRNA from 1 species